rnacentral:rRNA from 1 species
GAUGAACGCUGGCGGCGUGCCUAAUACAUGCAAGUCGAGCGAACAGAUGAGGAGCUUGCUCCUCUGACGUUAGCGGCGGACGGGUGAGUAACACGUGGAUAACCUACCUAUAAGACUGGGAUAACUUCGGGAAACCGGAGCUAAUACCGGAUAAUAUAUUGAACCGCAUGGUUCAAUAGUGAAAGACGGUUUUGCUGUCACUUAUAGAUGGAUCCGCGCCGCAUUAGCUAGUUGGUAAGGUAACGGCUUACCAAGGCAACGAUGCGUAGCCGACCUGAGAGGGUGAUCGGCCACACUGGAACUGAGACACGGUCCAGACUCCGACGGGAGGCAGCAGUAGGGAAUCUUCCGCAAUGGGCGAAAGCCUGACGGAGCAACGCCGCGUGAGUGAUGAAGGUCUUCGGAUCGUAAAACUCUGUUAUUAGGAAGAACAAAUGUGUAAGUAACUAUGCACGUCUUGACGGUACCUAAUCAGAAAGCCACGGCUAACUACGUG